AUUGAACGCUGGCGGCAGGCUUAACACAUGCAAGUCGAGCGGGGGAAGGUAGCUUGCUACCGGACCUAGCGGCGGACGGGUGAGUAAUGCUUAGGAAUCUGCCUAUUAGUGGGGGACAACAUCUCGAAAGGGAUGCUAAUACCGCAUACGUCCUACGGGAGAAAGCAGGGGAUCUUCGGACCUUGCGCUAAUAGAUGAGCCUAAGUCGGAUUAGCUAGUUGGUGGGGUAAAGGCCUACCAAGGCGACGAUCUGUAGCGGGUCUGAGAGGAUGAUCCGCCACACUGGGACUGAGACACGGCCCAGACUCCUACGGGAGGCAGCAGUGGGGAAUAUUGGACAAUGGGGGGAACCCUGAUCCAGCCAUGCCGCGUGUGUGAAGAAGGCCUUAUGGUUGUAAAGCACUUUAAGCGAGGAGGAGGCUACUCUAGUUAAUACCUAGGGAUAGUGGACGUUACUCGCAGAAUAAGCACCGGCUAACUCUGUGCCAGCAGCCGCGGUAACAC
rnacentral:rRNA from 1 species